rnacentral:rRNA from 1 species
GCAAGUCGACUGGAAUUCUUCUUCGGAAGAUAGUACGGUGGCGCACGGGUGAGUAACGCGUAAGUAAUCUACCCUGGUAUCUGGGAUAACCCACCGAAAGGUGUGCUAAUACCGGAUACGCUGAUUUAUCAGGAAAGGUGGCCUCUUCAUGAAAGCUACUGUACCAGGAGGAGCUUGCGUACCAUUAGCUAGUUGGUAGGGUAAUGGCCUACCAAGGCGACGAUGGUUAGCGGGUCUGAGAGGAUGAUC